CCGCGGUGAAUACGUUCCCGGGCCUUGUACACACCGCCCGUCAAACCAUGGAAGGUCGGGGGCGCCCGAAGUCGCCGAUGAGGCGCCGAAGGUAGAAACUGAUGACGUGGGGUU
rnacentral:rRNA from 1 species